rnacentral:lncRNA from 1 species
GCAGCACGCACGCACCCAUCUCCCUGCGCGAGGAACAUCACCAUCACCAUCUCGUCCUCAUGGCCGCACUCCACCCUCAGUCUCUCGAUCGAUCAUUCUCCAUCCUUCUCCCUCAGUCUCUCCUUGUUUCUUCUUCGGUUCCCCCUAUCUCUUCUCUGCAACUCACCUUCUCCCUCAGUCUCUCCUUGUUUCUUCUUCGGUUCUCCUCCCCAUUUCUUCUUCGGCUGCCGUUGCGAUGACGACGGAGGAUCCUCGGCGAUAUUAUGGCUAAUAUCGCGAUAAUAUCGCUAAUAUCGCGAUAUUAUUACGAUAAUUAAGUGUAAACGUUGAAAAUAUCGCUAUGUAAAAAUAACGAUAUUAUCGGCGAUAUUUUGCCGAUAAUAUCGAUAUUUUCUUCCCUGGUCUCAUCUUUAAUACCUUUGACUUUUCUUCUUGCCAUGGGCAUGAGGGCUUGAAGAAGUUGUAAUCAGUAACUCAGGUUUUCUUGAGUUGAACUGCACGUUAAACAGAUGUGGGUCUCGUCAAUUUAAUGUGGGAAUUUUCAUCACUUUUGAGUAAAAGUUCACGUAUUAACUCCAUUAUUUUCUGUAUUACUUUUUGCUCAACAAGUUUGUGCUUUCAUUUAAAAAAAAAACACAUUUAUGCUUUCAUUUAAAUAUAUGUUGUGAAAUGUCAAAGCUUGAAUUAUACAUUCGAAUAAAAAUUCACUUGAUAGAUAAUGGGAUGUCUGAGAUUGAUAAUGUGCAUCAUAACAAGCACUCAAUACUAAUUAGGAAAGAAAUUAAAAUGGAAAAAAUAAAAAAGAAUGAACAAUUAUUUAUGGGUUUUGUCUGAUAAUUGUUUGUAUGGACUCAAAGACUAAAAGACAACCCAUAUGAUUGGUCUGUCUUGAAUUGAAGGUGCCGCAUGAACUUGUAUGGGCUUGUACAAUGAUUGGCCCU